AGAAAACCAGGAAGUGAAGAGAAGAGUGACUGCAGAGGUUAUUGGAUGCACCCAAUAGCGACGCUGUCUGGCUCUGAGACGUCUUCUCCAUCUGGAAACAAGGAUUAGAGCAUGAAAGCCAAAGUGAAGGUGGUCCGGCAUCAUCUUUGCAGUCUUCAGAGUGAGCUUCUGAGGUGAUAUCUGGCUGCAGGGUUGGACAUCCCCCAAAAUGCUGUUUAAAACUGCCACAAAAUUGUAGUGCAAAACGUGUAUGCUGCCAUCUGUGUAACAAGGGCUCGAGGAUUCCUCUUCUGCUGCAUUAAAAUGGAAAAAAAAAGCUAAGUGUG